AUCGAUGAAGAACGCAGCGAAAUGCGACAAGUAAUGUGAAUUGCAGAAUUCAGUGAAUCAUCGAAUCUUUGAACGCACAUUGCGCCCCUCGGCAUUCCGGGGGGCAUGCCUGUUCGAGCGUCAUUGCACCCCUCAAGCGUAGCUUGGUCUUGGGCCCUCGCCGUGGUGGCGUGCCCGAAAAUCAGUGGCGGUCCCGGCCGGCUUCGAGCGCAGUAAACAUCAAACCCGCUCCGAAUGCUCGGCCCGCGACUGGCCAAACAACCCCAUGUAUUCUAUGAUUGACCUCGGAUCAGGUAGGGAUACCCGCUGAACUUAA
rnacentral:rRNA from 1 species